UAAAAUAAUGUUUUUUUUAGGAUGACAAGGAUACUGCUUUGCAUUGAUUUCAAUGUUUACAAGGAGGAGCACUGACUAUCCUGCUCUUGUGUGUUUAGAAGGAGAAGGUGUUGCUCCCACUUGUCCACAAGCUGCUCUUCGGUUCAUCACAAGAUAGUACAGGGGAACCACUGACAGCACAGCUGGUGCAUCACAAGGAACUCGAUGCCCUCCUCGCUGGCUUGGAGAAGAUCCUCUCAGAUGCUUCACUUUAUCCUGGUCCUGCAAUGGAGGCACACUCGGCAGCUGUUAGAGCAGGGAUUAUUAAGAAUAAAGAUGCUGCAGCAUUCAAACUAAUUGAACAGCGGGUGAAUAACAACUGGGGCCAUCCAGAAUACACUUGCCUGUACCGGUUCUGUGUCCACGGAGAAGCAGCGAUGUGAUUCUGGAGGUCAGCUACCCCGCACUGUGCAACACUAACAACCUCUACGUAAUCUGGAUUCAAAGUUGAUUUCCUGCAACAAUGUCAAUUUCUGUCAUAAAUGCUAAUAGUGUUUUAAAUUAUUGAUAAGUAUUUUGUAUUAAGUAUAUUUAGAAUGAAAUAUC